rnacentral:hammerhead_ribozyme from 1 species
GCACUACUGAUGGGUCCUAAACAGGACGAAACGGCUGUUUAGUGC